GGUCCUAUAGCUCAGCUGGAUAGAGCAACAGAUUUCUAAUCUGUAGGUCUCUGGUUCGAAUCCAGAUGGGAUCACAA
rnacentral:tRNA from 1 species